rnacentral:rRNA from 1 species
UACGUAGGUGGCAAGCGUUAUCCGGAUUUAUUGGGCGUAAAGGGAACGCAGGCGGUCUUUUAAGUCUGAUGUGAAAGCCUUCGGCUUAACCGGAGUAGUGCAUUGGAAACUGGGAGACUUGAGUGCAGAAGAGGAGAGUGGAACUCCAUGUGUAGCGGUGAAAUGCGUAGAUAUAUGGAAGGACACCAGUGGCGAAAGCGGCUCUCUGGUCUGUAACUGACGCUGAGGUUCGAAAGCGUGGGUAGCAAACAGG